UGCAGUCGAACGGAGUAACAUGAGUAGUAAUACGAGUGCUGCUCAGUGGCUCACGGGUGCGUAACACGUGAGUUACAUGCCCUGCAGAGAGGGAUAGCCCAGGGAAACUUGGAUUAAUACCCCAUGGUCUCGCAAGAGUAAAGAUGGCCGUAAGGCUGUCGCUGCAGGAUUGGCUCGCGGCCUAUCAGCUAGUUGGUGAGGUAACGGCUCACCAAGGCUACGACGGGUACCUGGUCUGAGAGGACGAUCAGGCACACUGGAACUGAGACACGGUCCAGACACCUACGGGUGGCAGCAGUCGAGAAUCAUUCACAAUGGGGGCAACCCUGAUGGUGCAACGCCGCGUGGAGGAAGAAGGUCUUCGGAUUGUAAACUCCUGUCAUCUAGGAGCAAGGCAUGGUGGUGAAUAGCCAACAUGAUUGAUAGUACUAGAAGAGGAAGGGACGGCUAACUUCGUGCCAGCAGCCGCGGUAAUACGAAGGUCCCGAGCGUUAUUCGGAAUCACUGGGCGUAAAGGGAGCGUAGGCGGCGUGGAAAGUCAGAUGUGAAAUCCCAGAGCUUAACUCUGGAACUGCAUCCGAUACUACCAUGCUAGAGUAUUGGAGGGGUAACUGGAAUUCUCGGUGUAGCAGUGAAAUGCGUAGAUAUCGAGAGGAACACUCGUGGCGAAAGCGAGUUACUGGACAAUUACUGACGCUGAGGCUCGAAGGCUAGGGGAGCAAAAGGGAUUAGAUACCCCUGUAGUCCUAGCAGUAAACGGUGCACGCUUGGUUUGAGGGGAAUCGACCCCCUUCGAGCCGGAGCUAACGCGUUAAGCGUGCCGCCUGGGGAGUACGGUCGCAAGACUAAAACUCAAAGAAAUUGACGGGGACCCGCACAAGCGGUGGAGUAUGUGGCUUAAUUCGAUGCAUCGCGAAGAACCUUACCUAGGCUGGACAUGCAUUUCUAAAUACGUGAAAGCGUAUGACUC
rnacentral:rRNA from 1 species